CAUCUAAGCGGGAAGCGCGCCUCAAGAUGAGAUCUCCCGGGGCACAAGCCCCCUGAAGGAACCAUGUAGACUACGUGGUUGAUAGGUCAGGUGUGUAAGUACAGCAAUGUAUUGAGCUAACUGAUACUAAUGAUCCGUGCGGCUUGACCAU
rnacentral:rRNA from 1 species